UAGGGAGUGGUGUAAGAGGAAACACGGAGGGUUUUGAUCUCUCAAAUAUAGGUUCGAGUCCUAUUUUUCUAG
rnacentral:tRNA from 1 species